GUUUGCAGAGGCUCGGCAUCCGGGCCGGGCGCUGGGGAGGGAGGUACGCCUCUCCCCGGGCGGCCAGGAAGCGGGGACGUGGGAGCCAUACGAGCGGCGGGGGACUCACCUGCAGCAACACCGCCAGCAGGAAGCACAGCUUUGUUACAUUCUAGACAUGUUUAUGGAAGAAGGGUUUAUUUGUCUAUCCAAUUUUGUAGUCUCUGUCUUUUAACAGAAAUAACCAGUUCUUCAAAUGCUGUUAGAACCAGCUUUACCACCCUACUGCUUCCUUCAUCAAUUAAAAUAAAAUCAUUGACAUGGGUUCAUUCUGUAUAGCAUCCUGGUGACCUGCUUGCCUUUUCCUCACCAUCUUCUUCCCAUGGUCAAGACAUGAGACAGGUCCAUUGAGGAUAAAAUGAAGAACUAAAGUAAGUGAAAGAAGCUUCACAGAUGCUCUCUGAGCCCUUCAAAAAGAUCUCCUCCAAGUCCUUGGCUGGAAAGGCGCACAUGGGAGAUGGUGAUGGAACCAUAUCACAGUUGCCCUAGCAAAGCCCACAUGCCUCCCAGGACAGAAAUAACACCUUCUCAACACAAGGAUGAAGGUAGGAAUACCUGCUGUAUGUAUCUUCCGGAGUUGCUGCAUGUGCUACUUGAGACUCUAUGUAAACACACUUUUUAGUUCUGCUUCCUUUGUAGAGAUUUCUGAUCUUCUAGAUGAGAUUCAUUUACUUUUAUCUAGUCCCUGAGUCACCAGUUGCAUACAUACACAGAAUGACCGGCUGGGAUUAGUGGUGUGGUCUGUGAGGGUGAAAUUGAGUGAGAAGAACCAUAAAAGGCCCCAAAUCUGUGGCCCUGACUUCAUUAACCAGGCACAGUAUUCAUCAAUGUGAUCCAUCUUCAACCAAAUGCAGCUUUCUGCCCUUUUGCCAGCUUAGCCCUGCUAUCAGCAGCUGGGGGCCCUGCCAAAGGGCAGGGGGAGGGAGCCUCAGGUUGCCCACACUGCAGAUGAUCUCAGGAAUAUUCCAGAAGGACUGUAAAACAAACCCCCAGUCUUGUCAUUUUACUUCAAAAAGCAAAAAAAAAUCUCCCAGAUAAUAAGCAUUCUGCUCUAAUAAGAACUGUAGGAUUGAUUAGGUUCAAACUGUUAGCAGACAUCCUUAUGGUUAAUGAAGCAGCAUUGAAAAUGCCUCUUGAUUCUUUGGGAACUUAAAUCAUACAAAGGCAGCAAGGAGCAAGAAGAGAACUGGAGGUGGGGUAGAUUAAACUGUCUGCUAGUUAACAGUACUCAAGAUAAUGAACAAAAAAUGUUUGUUCUUUGAAAAGCUAAUAUUUAUUGACAGUCAUCUCUG